UGAACAAAUACUAAGGCACCGCGUGUACGUGAUUUGCACAUGAAAAUGAAACACCUUAAUUCCAAAAACAGAAGGGGAGUGAAGUGUGUAAUGUGAUAAGGAACGAUAAAAACAGCCUCCUGAGAAUGCGGUUUCAGUGUGUACAAAAUCAGUUGCCUCAGCAACCCGCCUCAAACGCCAUCUAGUGACUCUUUAUGGUUAAUACACGCUCUUUCCAUAAUUACUUGGUGGACAAAUGCCGGGGAAAACUUUUUUGGAAGAGCUAUCCCUGGCCCCACUCAGCUAAAACUAAGUACUUCGUUCGUGUCAUUCGCUGCAAGCCAGAAGCUCUGAAAUAAUGAGCCCAACAUGAUCGCACUGGAUUUAAACGUGAAGGAGGAGAGCUCAUCAAUUUUCUGGGAAUCCUGGAAUCACUUAAUUGUAGUCUUGUGAGAAGACAUUGUAAGAAGCGGAGUCAAGCACACACCAUGAUGGCAGAGGAAUGAAGAGAACGGGCUUCCUGUCUUCAUAUUUUUCUUCUGUCGAAGUCCUGCUCUUGUUGCCCAGAAUAAAGUGCAAUGGUGUCGUCUCGGCUCACAGCAACUUAAACUCCUCCGGGUUUAAGUGAUUCUCCUGCCGAAGCCUCCUGAGUAGCUGGGAUUCCAGCUUCUUGCCACUGAAACUCAAAGUCAUGACUAUGUUCCUCAGUCUCCUGGAAGCAAAACUCUCCAAUGUGAUGACUUUCCUGUCUUGCCAAUGUCCCUGUGUGGAACACUUCCGUACUGCCUUGCCCUGUUGAUGAAAACUUCUUCCUUAUGCAUUUGGAGGAGAUACCCACAAAAUAUAAACUCCAAGGCUCCUGGCCAGGACUAGUGCUUUUAUAAAAAGAGACAGUGAAGAGCUUGUUGACUAUUCCUCUUUCCACCAAGACAAAACACAGCAGGAAGAUGCUUGGGCUAAAUCACAAAGGAGGCUGUCAGCAGAAACCAAUCUGCCUGCACCUUGCUCUUAUAUUUCCCACUCUCUAAAUUCAAAAGAAAUAAAUCUCUGUGUCUUAAGCUUCCGAGUUAAAGCUAUUUUUUUUUUUUGAGACUUAGUCAUGCUCUGUCACCCAAAGUGGAAUGCAAUGGCAUGAUUCUCGUGCUAGAAAAAAUUCUCCCAUAGCAGCCUAAGAAGCUGGGACUACAGCCUGGCUAAAUGUAUGUGUGUGUCUGUGUGUGUACGUG